GAAAUGCGAUAAGUAAUGUGAAUUGCAGAAUUCAGUGAAUCAUCGAAUCUUUGAACGCACAUUGCGCCCACUAGUAUUCUGGUGGGCAUGCCUGUUCGAGUGUCAUGAAUCUCUCAAUCCCUCUGGCUUUGUUGACAGAGGGCUUGGAUUUGGGGGCUUGCCGGCCUAGUCGGCUCCCCUUGAAUGCAUUAGCUUGGGUCUUGUCCGCAAGGAUCCUCGGUGUGAUAAUUAUCGACGCCGUGACAACUUGUGGCGCGUGUGACCGCACCCCUCGGGUGGCGUGUGACCGGACCGCUAAGCUUACAAUCGUCCUCGGACAACUUCUUGACAUCUGACCUCAAAUCAGGUAGGACUACCCGCUGAACUUAA
rnacentral:misc_RNA from 1 species